CUCACAGCUGCAGCACACACCAAGCCCCUCCCCUGGCCCGAACCCGCCCCAGCCCCGCCCCAGGCCACAGGGUUCCUCUGGUGCCCGCUGGGAAACGGAAAACAGCAGUUGUCCCGCUGAUGUUUUUUUUUUUUUAACCUUUAUUUAUGGUAGUCACACAGAGAGAGAGGCAGGCUCCAUGCACCGGGAGCCCGACGUGGGACUCAAUCCCGGGUCUCCAGGAUCGCGCCCUGGGCCAAAGGCAGGCGCCCAACCCAACCGCUGCGCCACCCAGGGAUCCCCCGCUGACGGGUUUAAAGGUAAUGGAAAGGAAACACUACGCCAGAGGCUGGACUCUACAGAGUUUGGAGCUCCAUACACGGCACGUGCAGACCACCACGUUCGAGUCUGCUGUCCACUGAGCCUGCUCCAAAAGCUCAUCUUUCUCCAGAGGUUCCAGAAUCGGGUCAGGAGGUGGGUGGCCGCCCUGUGACUCCGUGGCUCUGAGUCAAGCCCACUUCUUGGUGACGUUGAGAUGGUCGAGCUGGUCCCCCACGAACCUGUGCGGGGGGAACCUGGACAUGCUGACCGCCUGGAUGGCCCCGAAGGCUGCUUCCCGCUUCCCUGAGCCCCGCCUGGUGGCCGCACUGCUCUCCCUCAGAUAGGGCGGAGCUCAGCCAGGACUGGUUCUCUGCCUCCCUCCAGCCGCCCCAUCACGUUCUGCUUCGCUUGGAAGGACACGGCCCGCGGCCUGCCUGGGGUGGGACCGCGGCGGAGGAGAACGGUCAGGAACUUGGCACCUGCGGGAAGGGCAGAGCCUCACACCGACUGGUCACGCGCUCGGCCACCCGCGAGAACGCACACUGCACCCCAAAAGAAGCGGAGAUCCCAAAUGGGAUCUACAGGGAAACGAGGGGGGACUCCCAAAACAACGAGAUGUGCCAAUCAACUCACUGACCCCAUCCCCCAACAGACCCCACAGCCUCCACACACCAGCAGGCACGAUCCCCCGGACUGACGUAUUUUAAGGGAUCACCUCUGGCAUCUAUGUUGAACAUAGAUGUUGUGGCACAAGAGUGGAAGCAAGACCAGGUAAGAGGCCAUUGAAAUAUGCCCAUAAGAAAUGAUGGUAGUUUGGAUUGGAUUAUGAGCAAUUUGAAGAUAACAAGUGGUUAGAUGUGUUAAAGGAAGAGCCUACUGGAUUUGCUGGUAGGCAAAAUGAGGGUUGUAAGAAAAACAUUACUUGUGUAUAUAUGCCAGGUGCUACAUGAAACCUUUUAUAUGCAAAUCAUUCAAAGUUUGCAACAAUCACAUAAGUGAGGUUCUAUUGUGUGUGUGUGUUAAGAUUUAUGUAUUUUAGAGAGGGUGUGAACAGGGGGAGAGGCAGAGGGAGAUGGAGAGAAGCAAACUCCCCAAAGAGCAGGGAGCCUGAUGUGGGGGAGGGAGGUUCCAUCCCAGGACUCUGACAUCUGGACAAGAGCAGAAAUCAAGAG
rnacentral:lncRNA from 12 species